rnacentral:rRNA from 1 species
AACGGCCAUACCAUGCUGAAUAUGCCGGUUCUCGUUAGAUCACCGAAGUCAAGCAUCAUUGGGCGCGGUCAGUACUUGGGUGGGUGACCACCACCUGGGAACACCGCGUGCCGUU